CAGCUAGCCUACCCAUCAAAAUUAACCAAACAACAUAAAUAAAAUAAAAUAGACAAAACACAAAAAACUAAACCAUUCUUUUACCUGAGUAUGGGAGACAGAAAAGGUUCAAUUAGAGCAAUAGAAAUAGUACCGCAAGGGAAAGCUGAAAGAGAAAUGAAAUAACCCAUAUAAGCACCAAAAAGCAAAGACUAAACCUUGUACCUUUUGCAUCAUGAUUUAGCCAGUAAACACAAGCAAAGAGACCUUUAGUUUGAAAUCCCGAAACCAGGUGAGCUACCCCGAGACAGCCUAUUAAGGGCCAACCCGUCUCUGUGGCAAAAGAGUGGGAAGAGCUCCGGGUAGAAGUGAUAGACUUACCGAACCUGGUGAUAGCUGGUUGCCUAAGAAAUGAAUAAAAGUUCAGCCUCGCCUACCUCAGAUCAAAAACAUACUUUUAUUAAAUAUACUAAGAGAAAAAUACGAGAGUUAGUUAAAGGGGGUACAGCCCCUUUAACAAAGGACACAACCUUACCAGGAGGAUAAAGAUCAUAAUACACAAAAUAUACUGUUCUAGUGGGCCUAAAAGCAGCCAUCUAAAUAGAAAGCGUUAAAGCUCAGACAGAUAAAAAUUUAUUAUUCCGAUAAAAAAUCUUACUCCCCUAAAUACUAUUAGGCUAGUCCAUGCCCACAUGGAAGAAAUUAUGCUAAAAUGAGUAACAAGAAGGCCCGCCCUUCUCCAAGCACAAGUAAAAGCCAAGUUGAACCAACCAUUGGCAACUAACGAACUCAACCCAAGAGAGUAAUGUGAAUUAUAAAAAAAUCAAGAAAAAUCCACAACCCUACAAUCGUUACCCCUACACUGGAGUGCUAUCUUAAAGGAAAGACUAAAAGAAAAGGAAGGAACUCGGCAAACACAAGCCCCGCCUGUUUACCAAAAACAUCGCCUCCUGUAAUAUAACACAUAGGAGGUCAAACCUGCCCAGUGACUACAAGUUCAACGGCCGCGGUAUUUUGACCGUGCAAAGGUAGCGCAAUCACUUGUCUUCUAAAUAAAGACCUGUAUGAAUGGCCAAACGAAGGCUUAACUGUCUCCCUUUUCAAGUCAGUGAAAUUGAUUAUCCGUGCAGAAGCG
rnacentral:rRNA from 1 species